GAAGCCCCGGCACCUUUUAGGGUGCUGCUCCAAAUUUGCACUUUGGUGUGUGGCCACCCCAGGGCU
rnacentral:tRNA from 1 species